CACUCCAAAGCUCACACAAGCUUAUAUGGAAAUGCUUCAAUUUCUUUGCAGGCUAAUAAAUUCACAGAACAUAUUGCUACUUCAAAUGCCAAACAGUUCAAGAGGGGGAAAAUUAUGCUUUCCGGGCUUCAAAAUCUCCAAAACAGAACCAUAGGCAAGAGAUAAGAUUUGCUGUCAUGUAACUGUAAAGCAGUGAACUGUAG
rnacentral:misc_RNA from 1 species